rnacentral:rRNA from 1 species
AAGGUUUCCGUAGGUGAACCUGCGGAAGGAUCAUUAUUGAAUGAACUUGGUGUGGUUGUCGCUGGCCCUCUUGGGGGCAUGUGCACACCUACCAUYCUCAUCUCUCCACCUGUGCACCUCUUGUAGAUUUGGAAUUGAUUAUCCGAGGCAACUCGGUCGUGAGGACUGCUAGCACUUAGCCRGCUUUCUUUGCAAUUCCAGGUCUAUGUUUUUCAUAUACCCCAUUGUAUGUAACAGAAUGUAUCAUUGGGCCCUUGUGCCUWUAAACCUUAUACAACUUUCAGCAACGGAUCUCUUGGCUCUCGCAUCGAUGAAGAACGCAGCGAAAUGCGAUAAGUAAUGUGAAUUGCAGAAUUCAGUGAAUCAUCGAAUCUUUGAACGCACCUUGCGCUCCUUGGUAUUCCGAGGAGCAUGCCUGUUUGAGUGUCAUUAAAUUCUCAACCAUUAUCAACUUUUGCUGAUAAUGGCUUGGAUGUGGGGGUCUAUUUUGCUGGCUUCUCAGAUAGUCAGCUCCCCUUAAAUGCAUUAGCCGGUGCCCCGCGUGGACUGUCUAUUGGUGUGAUAAUUAUCUACGCUAUAGACAUCYGCAAUCAUAUGGGUUUGCGCUGCUUCUAACAGUCUGUUGAUUCAGACAAUACAUGACAAUUUGACCUCAAAUCAGGUAGGACUACCCGCUGAACUUAA